rnacentral:lncRNA from 10 species
CCUCCUCCCCUCCCUCCCUAGUCCUCAGCAUGCAGCUCUCUGGCUGAAUCCCAUCACCGCUCCAAUUUCCCCUUCACCCGGGCAGCCCCGCACUGAACAGAAACUCCGCAGAAUGGCCCCAUUGUAGACCAGACAAACCAAAAUAGCAGCAUCUUCUGUUCUCCGCCUUAGAGAGAUUCACUUAAAAUCCCGAAGUCCCAGAUGUGGACGACAAUGGAAGCUGUUGUUGCAAAUUAGUGAUCCUGGAACAGCUGAGAGAAAAAUCCCAAGGAACAAUUGUUUUGGAUUACUUAGUGGACUCAGCAUGGAAACUGCUUGUGUGGCCCAGCUAGGUAGGGGCGUUCAGACAAGGAGACCUGACCUGGAGCCUCUGGGAUGAUUCCAAGGAAGAAGAAUCCUGGCCUAAUGAACUCCUCAAGCUCUCUUCUUUGGGAAAUAGGAAGAUCACAAUUUGAAAUCUUAAUACGAGGCUUUUAGGCUCCUUAUCAACACAAGAAUGGACAUCAAGUUACUUACAUAUUGGGCCAAAAUAUUGAGUGCAGAUGAAAAUAAAUGCUGACUUUGAAGAUUUCCCAUCCAGCCCGCAGAAAUUCCCCUGGCCUGCCACACUUGGGUAACUUGAGUUCUGGAAUUCCAGACGUGGUUAACCCCAAUCCACAAAUUUGCUGGAGUUAUGAAGCUGAGUGAGAGUACUGCUUUUCUAUUAUGCAUUCCCAAUAUGUUCUGUUCUGAGCUGACACCACAGAAUUUACUUCUCCCACAAGUUUAACCCACUGCAUGGAGUGAUCAUGGCUCACUGUUUUUUGGUAAAUACCAAAAUACAGAUAACAGUUUUUCACAGUACAAAUUUUAUAUCUGACUUGGCUGGAAACUUCCCCAGUCACUCCGUCUAGUUGCCUCAUUUUGUUGGGCCUUGGUUUCUUUCAGUUUCCUACUAAAACUUACCUCUUUGGGGAGGCAUGAGUAUCAAUGCUUGGCUACCAAUCCAGGUAAGGCCUCUGAAUGAAAGGUGAUAUGGAAGGGCACAAACGAUCUGGAUACCUAUCCCCUGGGAAAGUCCAGGCCUCAGGCCACAGCAAUGCCACAGCUUCUGGAAGCUGCCUGGGAACUGAGGUUUUAUUCUCCUGUGUGUGUCUACAUGCCUGGAGUGUUGACUCUGGAGACCUAUGAAUACAGUAAAUGACAUCAUAGGUAGCUCAGGUCAAUGAAGAUUUAUUUUUAGCUAUGACCCUUGUCUGUUAAAUGAUCUGAAUUUAAAAAGAAAGAGGACACGGAAGAAGGAAAAGAAAUGUGAAAGGCAAUGAAAGAAUGUAAGAUUCCUGCUUGAUCUUAAAAAGCACUAGAGCAAAAGUCAAGCACAGCUUUCUUAUUUCUUUUCAACCAGAAGGGUGUUACAGGAGAAAUGUAUGAAGGGCGGAGGAUAUGCCCUCUUGUGAGAAUUCUGUCUCUUCCCUGCAGUUACUCAUUUUGAGAAUGUGGCUCCCAGUGUCUACAGUGGAGGUGGGCUC